GGGGAUUUAGCUCAGCAGUAGAGCACUUGUCUAGCAAGCACAAGGCCCUGGGUUCGAUCCCCAGCUCCA
rnacentral:tRNA from 1 species